ACGUAGGGGACGAGCGUUGUCCGGAUUUACUGGGCGUAAAGGGCGCGUAGGCGGUCAUUUAAGUCAGCUGUGAAAUGAUUUGGCUUAACCGGAUCAUGCGGUUGAAACUGGAUGACUGGAGUGCUGGAGAGGCAAGUGGAAUUCCCAGUGUAGCGGUGAAAUGCGAAGAGAUGGGGAAGAACACCGAAGGCGAAGGCAACUAGCUGGCCAGAAACUGAGGCUGAUGCGCGAAAGCCAGGGGAGCAAACAG
rnacentral:rRNA from 1 species